UACAUCAUAACCCACCUUAACUAGGUACAUCUUUCACCUACACCUAACCUAGAAUCUACUAUACACCCUUAACCUAGGUACAUCUACACUAUAGUAUACCACCUUAACCUAGGUACCUCUACACUAAUAUACCACCUUAACCUAGGACAUCUACACUAUUACAACCUUAACCUAGGUACAUCUACACUAUAGUAACCACCUUAAACCUAGGUUACAUCUACACUAUACCACCUUUAACCUAGGUACAUCUACACCAUACCACCUUAACCUAGGUACAUCUACACCAUACCACCUUAACCUAGGUACAUCUACACCCUACCACCUUAACCUAGGUACCUCUACCCCAUACCACCUUAACCUCGGUAGAUCUAACACAUACCACCUUCCAUACCUACACUAUACAUCCACCUUAACUAGGUACA
rnacentral:lncRNA from 1 species